UGUUUUUUCUUACCGUUCCUUAACCUGCCUCCCUAUUCCCCGCCGCCUGCUGCCUUCCUUAUUCCUUGGCGUGAGCCCUCCGCCGCCUGUCUCCUCACCACCACCUAGAUCAAUCCGAUUAGACGAGGUAGCAAUUUCCAUCCUCUCCUACCUCCUUCCGACUUCCAAGCUCUCUUCCCGCAGAAUCCUAGUCGCUUGUACACACGCCCCACCCCACCCUAAUCCUUUUCCUUGCUUCAAGUCCACCCCUUACCACCGUCGACCUCUUUCCCAUCUUCCUCCCCACAUCAACCAAGCUACUAGUACAAGCUCAUCUCCGAUCGAGACCUCUUCACUUGGUCGUUUGAAUUCAAGGUUUUGGGAGAGCUCUCGCACGCCAAAGUUCCUUUUUUUGGCUAUUGUUUAGGUUUUUGGGUUGUUGAAUGGAGAUGGAGGAUGCAACAGAGAGUUGCGACAGUUGGGAUGUGGUGGAUUUGGCUCGCAUACAUACUCGGCAGAAACUGCAACACUGUGUAUAACCAGUUCCUUAUCUACCACCAUCUUUACUCUGAUGUAUGCGCCACCUUCACAUUGCGUUGUUGCGGUUCCACGAAGUCACCACCUACACCGCAGGUGCCUGUGCUAUUGCAGCCUAUAGUCACAUAAGUUUAGUAUAUGGAAGAUUCCUAUGAGUGAUUCUUCUAUAGAACUUCCUAAAGAGGAGGUCAAGUGGAUGAUGAUACUUAUGCAAGAGCAAUAUGUUUUACUUAAAAUGCAAGUAGCUUCUUUGAACUGAUGUUGUUGAUAAGAUUGAGUUGUUCCUUAAGGUGAUUAAUAAGAUUGUCUCAACAAACUUAGUUGGUUUGUUACUUUCUACAAGAGAAACAAUUCAUCUCAUGGAGUUCAAAGACAUGCUACUAGCAAGAGGAUGGAGGAAGAAAUUAUUGAAUGAAUAAAUUUGGAGCUCGUUAUCACAAAAAGUAGGAAAGGGAGGAAAAGCCUAUCAAGGAAGGUAGACAAAGAGAAGAAAAUCUCAAGAAGAUGAUUCGUAAAAUGAUUCAAAAGGUAGAAUAUACAAAUCAAUUUUAUCUAGGAGGAUCUGGUCCCAUGGGCAUCAUGAUCGACAAUGUAAAAAUUAAAUUGCUUAUAGUGAGAUUUAAAAAUCUAUACAGUUACUUAUUGUUUGAGUAUUAAUUCAAUUUGCUUGGAUGAUGUAAA